rnacentral:tRNA from 1 species
GGAGAGAUGCCUGAGUGGUUGAAAGGGGCGGUCUCGAAAACCGUUGUACCUUCGGGUACCCGGGGUUCGAAUCCCCGUCUCUCCGCCA